rnacentral:tRNA from 1 species
AAGAUACUAGUAUAAUAGCAAAUACACUGCCUUGUCAAGGCAGAGUUGCUGGUUAAAUUCCUGCGUAUCUUA